rfam:Ovis aries breed Texel chromosome 12, whole genome shotgun sequence.
UCCCCAGUGGCUCAGAAGGUAAAGAACCUGCCUGCAAUGCAGGAGACUUAGGUUCGAUCCCUGGGUGGGGAA